rnacentral:rRNA from 1 species
GGUUAAGCGACUAAGCGUACACGGUGGAUGCCCUGGCAGUCAGAGGCGAUGAAGGACGUGCUAAUCUGCGAUAAGCGCCGGUAAGGUGAUAUGAACCGUUAUAACCGGCGAUUUCCGAAUGGGGAAACCCAGUGUGACUCGUCACACUAUCAUUAACUGAAUCCAUAGGUUAAUGAGGCGAACCGGGGGAACUGAAACAUCUAAGUACCCCGAGGAAAAGAAAUCAACCGAGAUUCCCCCAGUAGCGGCGAGCGAACGGGGAGGAGCCCAGAGCCUGAAUCAGCAUGUGUGUUAGUGGAAGCGUCUGGAAAGGCGCGCGAUACAGGGUGACAGCCCCGUACACAAAAGCGCAUGUGCUGUGAGCUCGAUGAGUAGGGCGGGACACGUGGUAUCCUGUCUGAAUAUGGGGGGACCAUCCUCCAAGGCUAAAUACUCCUGACUGACCGAUAGUGAACCAGUACCGUGAGGGAAAGGCGAAAAGAACCCCGGCGAGGGGAGUGAAAAAGAACCUGAAACCGUGUACGUACAAGCAGUGGGAGCACCCUUUGGGGUGUGACUGCGUACCUUUUGUAUAAUGGGUCAGCGACUUAUAUUCUGUAGCAAGGUUAACCGAAUAGGGGAGCCGGAGGGAAACCGAGUCUUAACCGGGCGUUAAGUUGCAGGGUAUAGACCCGAAACCCGGUGAUCUAGCCAUGGGCAGGUUGAAGGUUGGGUAACACUAACUGGAGGACCGAACCGACUAAUGUUGAAAAAUUAGCGGAUGACCUGUGGCUGGGGGUGAAAGGCCAAUCAAACCGGGAGAUAGCUGGUUCUCCCCGAAAGCUAUUUAGGUAGCGCCUCGUGAAUUCAUCUCCGGGGGUAGAGCACUGUUUCGGCUAGGGGGCCAUCCCGGCUUACCAACCCGAUGCAAACUGCGAAUACCGGAGAAUGUUAUCACGGGAGACACACGGCGGGUGCUAACGUCCGUCGUGAAGAGGGAAACAACCCAGACCGCCAGCUAAGGUCCCAAAGUCAUGGUUAAGUGGGAAACGAUGUGGGAAGGCCCAGACAGCCAGGAUGUUGGCUUAGAAGCAGCCAUCAUUUAAAGAAAGCGUAAUAGCUCACUGGUCGAGUCGGCCUGCGCGGAAGAUGUAACGGGGCUAAACCAUGCACCGAAGCUGCGGCAGCGACGCUGAUGCGUUGUUGGGUAGGGGAGCGUUCUGUAAGCCUGUGAAGGUGGCCUGUGAGGGUUGCUGGAGGUAUCAGAAGUGCGAAUGCUGACAUAAGUAACGAUAAAGCGGGUGAAAAGCCCGCUCGCCGGAAGACCAAGGGUUCCUGUCCAACGUUAAUCGGGGCAGGGUGAGUCGACCCCUAAGGCGAGGCCGAAAGGCGUAGUCGAUGGGAAACGGGUUAAUAUUCCCGUACUUGGUGUUACUGCGAAGGGGGGACGGAGAAGGCUAUGUUGGCCGGGCGACGGUUGUCCCGGUUUAAGCGUGUAGGUGUGUGUUCCAGGUAAAUCCGGUUCACUUUAACACUGAGGCGUGAUGACGAGGCACUACGGUGCUGAAGCAACAAAUGCCCUGCUUCCAGGAAAAGCCUCUAAGCAUCAGGUAACAUCAAAUCGUACCCCAAACCGACACAGGUGGUCAGGUAGAGAAUACCAAGGCGCUUGAGAGAACUCGGGUGAAGGAACUAGGCAAAAUGGUGCCGUAACU